UAGGGAAUCUUCCACAAUGGGCGAAAGCCUGAUGGAGCAACGUCGCGUGUGUGAUGAAGGGUUUCGGCUCGUAAACACUGUUGUAAGAGAAGAAUGACAUUGAGAGUAACUGUUCAAUGUGUGACGGUAUCUUACCAGAAAGGAACGGCUAAAUACGUGCCAC
rnacentral:rRNA from 1 species